ACUGGCGGGUCAGGGUUCAAAAGGGUGGAAUUGAAGCUGGUCGGAAAUGCUCUGUCCUGCUAAGGGGCCUGAGAGUGUGGUUUAACAGAAGCCUCAGGAGGAAGACGGGUGUCCUGGCAGGACAGGGUGUCCCAGGGGUCAGGAUAAAGGAGGAGCCAUGGCUGGAAGGAGGUGAAACUGGGAGUGCCUCUGAGUCAUGCCCUCGGUCUGCGCCAAGCUAAGUGAAUAACAUGAGACCUGCAAUACCUAAUUUCAUAUGAAAUGCGAUAAUCGAGUAAUGGGGCAGAUUUUUGCAUGUGGCUUGUAGAAAAGCUGAGGAGGAGGAGAGAUGGAGCAGGGACAAGCCGCAGCACGUUUCAGCCCAUACAUAAGAGCCAGUUAGCCAGUCUGCCAGGCACUGCCAGCUGGAGUGAAUGAAAUGCCUGUUGUUUCAGGGCAGGGGGAAAAUGAGUGCCCGUUAUUUAGAUUAAGGAAUUUAUAUCCAACAUGGUGUGAGGUUAAACAAAUUGGUGAGUGAGACUUGACCUGUUAUAAUAACCUUAAGUGCUUGGGGCCUACCCCAGGAGGGAGGAGAGGGCAAGAGUGCUCAUGAAAGCCUACUGUGUGCACAGCCCCAUGGCAAGCUGGCCCCAGGGGAGGGUGACACUAGAACUCCCUGAAAGCCUCGGGGCCUCGAGAGUUUUAGGUUGCUGGAGUUUUCCUAUUUCACGGCACAGAAUGGCUGACUCUUCAAUACAUUCAAAUUCCUUCCAACACCAAGUGGAGCUGGACCAGAGGUUUCUAGAGUGGGCAUUGCUGCCCCCAAGGCAAAGGACACCCUCUCCGUGGCUGAGGACUCUGGCCCGAGUUGAAAAGCCUUUAAUUGGGCUCUGACAUCUCCAUUCCCUGAGAGCAUAGUCGUCAAUCCUCUCGGCAGACAGGCCGGCCACAAGCCCAGUUUCAGAGAGCAGGCCCGGGCUGGCCUGGGCCCAGAGGACCGAGGGGGAUCUGCUGCCAAUCGACGGCGAGGACACCAGCCUCAGAGCACCCCAGCGACUUGAGCUCACAGAGGCCAGGCCAGAACUCUGCCAGUCCAGAGGGUGGAAGCCCAGCAUUCUCAGGACCUAGAAUCUAUCUGAAAAACUGAGGGCAGGAGGAGACGGGGCAAAAGAGGGUGAGAUGGUUGGAUGGAAUCACCAGCUCAAUGGACAUGAAUUUGAGCAAACUCCGGGAGAUGGUGGAAGACAGGGAAGCCUGGCGUGCUGCAGUCCAUGGGGUUGCAAAGAGCUGAACGUGACUGAGCGACUGAACAACAAAAACAUGCCCUGGACUGGAGUCAGACAGCCCUGGGUUCGAGAACUUGGUCAGCUGGGGAACCUCCAACGAGCCCUGGACCCCUCUGCACAGGGCCUCUGGUCUGUAAGAUGCUAACAGCUCCCUGCAGGCUUGUGAAGAUUGCUAAAACUAUCCUCCCAAGCCUGCAGCAUGGGCUCCGAGCAUGUUAAUCCCCUUCCCACAUUUCUUUUCUGCUUUUUCCUCUCUUAGAUUUUUCUCUUUCCUUAUCUCUUUGACCUUUCUUCACCUCUAAAUCUCUUCUCAGCACUUUUCUCAGUCCCUCAGGCUGCUUUCUUUUCUCCUUUCCACAAGUCAGACCACAGAGGCAGGGAGGCUGGAAGGAAAGCCUCAUACCUGAGACCAUGGAGGCCCGGUGCUCACAGGCCUGAGAGUGCUGGCCUUCGCUGGGCUCCCAGCUCCAGAGCAGAUCCUGGUACUCACCUCAGCUCCUCUUACACUUUCCCUCUUGGAGGCUUCUUCCUGGCCAAGAACAGGAGGGACAGGAGAAAGCAGGACGAGACAGGGAACAGAGGUGGUAGUCCCCCCCAGCCACCCCUCAGCCUGGCAAACAGACAGCAGAGGCUAUAGGAAAUAAACACGACACUAGUUAAGUAAUGGAGUAAUGGGGUGCUUCGGUGCAACUGCUCCCCUCCCUGUAACUCCCUGUCACAUCCCAGUGCAGAAAGAAGUCCUUCCUCAGAUCUAACUUAUACCUUCCUGCUGCACUUCCUGCCUACUUCCUUUUGGUCCAUGUGGAU
ensembl:lncRNA